rnacentral:rRNA from 1 species
UCCUACGGGGGGCAGCAGUGAGGAAUAUUGGUCAAUGGCCGGAAGGCUGAACCAGCCAAGCCGCGUGAGGGAGGAAGGCGCAGAGCGUCGCAGACCUCUUUUGCCGGGGGACAAAAGGCCGGACUCGUCCGGUCCUGAGGGUACCCGGAGAAAAAGCAUCGGCUAACUCCGUGCCAGCAGCCGCGGUAAUACGGAGGAUGCGAGCGUUAUCCGGAUUCAUUGGGUUUAAAGGGUGCGCAGGCGGGCCUUUAAGCCGGCGGUGAAA